rnacentral:lncRNA from 1 species
AGACGGUACCGCCAGUUCUGGGAAUCGCACAGGGGUGCGUACAAAUGGACCAGGACGCGGAGAGCACGGAAACAACGGUGCUGGGACCUUGUGCACAGAAUCCAGAUGCCAGAUGGGAAUUAAACAUUCGGCCGAGAAAAGCAAUCUAGUUCCCUGGGCUCGACUUUGACUCACUCCUUGGUCUGCACCAAUCCUCACAUCCCUCAGGUCCUCUAACUUUUACGACAGUAUCCAGAAAUCGAUUCUUUGGUCUCUACGGCUCCAGAAGGCUCGCUCAUCAAGAAACGUUCCAUUACCUUCGAUUAGAAGUGGAUACAUAUAUGAUUUUGGCCUAAAAAAAAAUUUGCAAAAAGGGAGAAUGCAAACUUGUCCUUUUCCUUUUGGAUUUACGGAGUGCCAGUAUCAGAGUCUAUUGAGGAGGAAUCUCUGAAAAUGACAGCUGAUGGGUGUAGAGACCCACGCCCGGAAUCUCAGCAACUGAAGUGGUUGAAGCAGGAGCAUCUGGGCAGAGCUUGUAAGCAUCUCUAGCUUCUGACUUUGUUGCUGGUGUUAUGGUUUUUGGUUUUCUUUCUCAGAGGCUUUCUGGUGCACCUAGACUGUGCCAGCU